rnacentral:rRNA from 1 species
GAUGAACGCUGGCGGCGUGCCUAAUACAUGCAAGUCGAGCGAACAGACGAGGAGCUUGCUCCUCUGACGUUAGCGGCGGACGGGUGAGUAACACGUGGAUAACCUACCUAUAAGACUGGGAUAACUUCGGGAAACCGGAGCUAAUACCGGAUAAUAUAUUGAACCGCAUGGUUCAAUAGUGAAAGACGGUUUUGCUGUCACUUAUAGAUGGAUCCGCGCCGCAUUAGCUAGUUGGUAAGGUAACGGCUUACCAAGGCAACGAUGCGUAGCCGACCUGAGAGGGUGAUCGGCCACACUGGAACUGAGACACGGUCCAGAGUCCUACGGGAGGCAGCAGUCGGGAAUCUUCCGCAAUGGGCGAAAGCCUGACGGAGCAACGCCGCGUGAGUGAUGACGGUCUUCGGAUCGGAAAACUCUGUUAUUAGGGAAGAACAAAUGUCUAAGUAACUAUGCACGUCUUGACGGUACCUAAUCAGAAAGCCACGGCUAACUACGUG